GUAUUGGUGGUCUAGUGGUAUGAGGUCACCCUGCCACGGUGGCGACCCGGUUUCGAUUCCCGGCCCAUGCA
rnacentral:tRNA from 1 species